rnacentral:tRNA from 1 species
GGUCAGGUAGCCAAGUGGUUGAAGGCAUCAGACUGCAAAUCUGAUUUUCGUCGUGGGUUCAAAUCCCACUCUGACCU